rnacentral:rRNA from 1 species
GGGGAAUAUUGCGCAAUGGGGGAAACCCUGACGCAGCGACGCCGCGUGAAGGAAGAAGGCCUUCGGGUUGUAAACUUCUUUGAUCGGGGACGAAGAUGACGGUACCCGAGGAACAAGCCACGGCUAACUACGUGCCAGCAGCCGCGGUAAUACGUAGGUGGCGAGCGUUGUCCGGAAUUACUGGGUGUAAAGGGCGUGUAGGCGGGGCGCCAAGUCAGGUGUGAAAUUCCGGGGCUUAACUCCGGGUAUGCACCUGAAACUGGUACUCUUGAGUGUCGGAGAGGAAAGUGGAAUUCCCAGUGUAGCGGUGAAAUGCGUAGAGAUUGGGAGGAACACCAGUGGCGAAGGCGGCUUUCUGGACGAUAACUGACGCUGAGGCGCGAAAGCGUGGGGAGCAAACAGGA